AGAGAUGGCUACCUCGACGAGUAUGUCGGGGAGGAAAGUCCGGGCAGCAGAAAGCAGCGGACCCGGGGCAACCCGGGGCACAAAAAGUGAAAACUUUUUGUGACAGAAAGUGCCACAGAAAAUAUACCGCCUUCGCUCUGUGCUGAAGGUAAGGGUGAAAAGGCGAGGUAAGAGCUCACCGCUCCAAGGGUAACCGAGGAGGCAUGGUAAACCUUCCGUGCUGAAAGGCCAAGUAUAUCCCACAUGGGGCCGCUUGCUCCACUUCCGUGGGAGGGGUAGGCCGAUAGACCGCCAGGCAACUGUCGGUUCAGAUAAAUGACAGAGAAUACAGAACCCGGCUUAUUGACUCGCUCUUUUU
rnacentral:RNase_P_RNA from 1 species